GACGAACACUGGCGGCGUGCUUAACACAUGCAAGUCGAACGGAAAGGCCCUGCUUUUGUGGGGUGCUCGAGUGGCGAACGGGUGAGUAACACGUGAGUAACCUGCCCUUGACUUUGGGAUAACUUCAGGAAACUGGGGCUAAUACCGGAUAGGAGCUCCUGCUGCAUGGUGGGGGUUGGAAAGUUUCGGCGGUUGGGGAUGGACUCGCGGCUUAUCAGCUUGUUGGUGGGGUAGUGGCUUACCAGGGCUUUGACGGGUAGCCGGCCUGAGAGGGUGACCGGCCACAUUGGGACUGAGAUACGGCCCAGACUCCUACGGGAGGCAGCAGUGGGGAAUAUUGCACAAUGGGCGGAAGCCUGAUGCAGCAACGCCGCGUGCGGGAUGACGGCCUUCGGGUUGUAAACCGCUUUCGCCUGUGACGAAGCGUGAGUGACGGUAAUGGGUAAAGAAGCACCGGCUAACUACGUG
rnacentral:rRNA from 1 species